rnacentral:rRNA from 1 species
UCAGCGGGGAGGAAGGCGAUAAGGUUAAUAACCUUGUCGAUUGACGUUACCCGCAGAAGAAGCACCGGCUAACUCCGUGCCAGCAGCCGCGGUAAUACGGAGGGUGCAAGCGUUAAUCGGAAUUACUGGGCGUAAAGCGCACGCAGGCGGUCUGUCAAGUCGGAUGUGAAAUCCCCGGGCUCAACCUGGGAACUGCAUUCGAAACUGGCAGGCUAGAGUCUUGUAGAGGGGGGUAGAAUUCCAGGUGUAGCGGUGAAAUGCGUAGAGAUCUGGAGGAAUACCGGUGGCGAAGGCGGCCCC